UCCUUGAAUAGAUUGCUACUACUGAUUGAGUUUCCCUAAUGCCUUGGUCAAAGCGGUGCUGCUGGACCCACCUCCACCCCCCCUUUUUUUAGAGAACCCACUCCACCGCUUGAAUCUGUGACAUAAAAAAAGACCCACCACUCACGAUGCCUGGCAAAUCGGAGAAAUAGAGGACCAAACCAAUCACGCCUCUUUUUUCUCCCUUCCUCCCCAUCACGGUCGCCUGCUCCCAUCCUUCUUCCCCACAUGUUACUGCGGUGGAGCAGUGGCCCGCUCGGGACCAUGACGCCGACGAGCGGGGGCUGCAGCUUGAGGCGGCGUUUGACGGAGGACUCCUUGCCGCCGUUGAGGACGGCUGAGGAAAGGGCAGGCGCUAGGUGAGGACAUGGGGUCCGUAGCACCCCGUCCAUGGUGGUGCCGAUAUCGGGGAUGCUUCCCGCACCCGUGUCUGCGAUGAUGGACGGCUCCGAUUGCUGCAGCAGCCAGAGCAUGGUCUCGCCAUCGGACUUGUGCCCUAGCUGUGUCCACGCCUCCGUGGACAAAACCUAAUCGACGGGCGCAGACUGCAAAGUCCGUCUCGCCCAUCAUCGGCUGGCGCGAUGUCCUGGGACGCGAGGCCCUGCUCCAGCUCAAUGUCCACCUAUGCGAUGUCGUCGAAGCCAACAGGCUGAUGGCAGGGGCAUGGCGCCAUCUUCCCUACCCGACUUGGCCAGCGGCACAGAGGAGGACCUCGGUGCCGUUUUCUUCAUCCCGAGGUGGCGCAAUAUGGGAGGACAUGAUGUCGGAUGUUGGUCUCUUCCGGAUGCACCCCCGUGUGAUGCAUCACCGUUCACAUGGAGUUCAGGAAGAAACACAAAAGUAAAAAUAUAGAGGUAUACUUCUUCUCCAACUUAUUUCUUGCAACUAAUAUAUUGUCAUUGGUACACUAAUUGUUUUAGUUGCACAACACUGUUUUCAUACAAGAAAAUGUUGAUUUCCUCAAGAAAGGGAGCGAACGCACCGUAUCGAAUUUCACCUAUUGUUUGCUGCUUCUGGAGUAGCAGCAUAUCAUGUUCCUUAAUUUGGUACUUUUUGGGUUUGUUAUUACCAAAUAUUAACUGGAUGAAUGCUUCAGUUUCUAUUAUAUUCUUUCAAACCAAUAAGGAAAGAGGGUGUCAAGACUGUUCUACUCAGUCUCCACUUCGUCUGGAGAUGAUUGCGAACUUGAUUUUUUUUAUACAUGUAUAUGUAGCUAAGUUAGAUACUUUCAGAUUUGGGUUUGUGCUUCGUAUCACACCUUUAUGUUUGCUAUGAUUGAUAAUGGAGAAUUGAUGAAAUUAGAAUUCCCAGCUAAAAUCAAAUGCAUAUCAAGUUUAUAGAUAGAUGCUCCUAUGUCACAACUACAUGCAUUUUACAGAUCUCCUGGUGCCCAAAAUCAAUAGCUUCACUUUUUCAAGGCCUUAUGAUGCAUGCCAAUUUUAUAAAUUGAGAAAGGAUUCUCAAACAGCCGUGAAAAAUUCAUCGAUUCCAGUUUUUGGUGCCUAGAGAAUUUUGAUGGCUAGCCCUGAAGUGCAUGUACUGGUGGUACUCUUUUGCUGAAACAAUGUGUUGGUUCAUGAGUAAUUUAUCCUCCCAUGCUGCCCACUGCUUAAUUCAUGUGGCUAUACAUGCUGAUGCAAUUCUAGAUACUGUGUUUUCUACCGAUGUUUUUGUGGUGAGUUUAUAAUUUACCCACCACACUUUUUUUGGUCUUAUAUGCAAAUGAUGGCCUGAUUAUUUGAAUUCAAUUGCAGGAGCAGGAGUACAAUCAGGGAAUUAGCUUCAGAAGACUGUACAAACUUGGUGCAGUCAUAGAUACCGCUUAUUUAGUACUAUAAAUCAUGUUACCUCUACCUUAUCUAUGCUUUAUAUUACCAGCUGACUAUGUUAUGGCGUAGCAGUCAGUAGUUUCUCUAUUGUACUUUGUGCUGCUCUAUAUAGACGUAACUAUCAUACUGAAGGAUAUCUUUUUUUA